GAUGAACGCUAGCGGCAGGCCUAAUACAUGCAAGUCGAGGGGCAGCGGGGUAGCAAUACUGCCGGCGACCGGCGCACGGGUGCGUAACACGUAUGCAACCUACCUUAAACUGGGAGAUAGCCCGGGGAAACUCGGAUUAAUACGCCAUAAUUCAUUUGGUUCACAUGGAUUGAUUGUUAAAGAUUUAUCGGUUUAUGAUGGGCAUGCGUUCGAUUAGCUAGUUGGUAAGGUAACGGCUUACCAAGGCUACGAUCGAUAGGGGGUCUGAGAGGAUGAUCCCCCACACUGGUACUGAGAUACGGACCAGACUCCUACGGGAGGCAGCAGUAGGGAAUAUUGGUCAAUGGAGGCAACUCUGAGCCAGCCAUGCCGCGUGUAGGAAGAAGGCGUCCUGCGUUGUAAACUACUUUUGAUUGGGAACAAAUGACUCUUGCGAGAGUAGCUGAGUGUACCAAUAGAAUAAGCCACGGCUAACUACGUGCCAGCAGCCGCGGUAA
rnacentral:rRNA from 1 species